rnacentral:rRNA from 1 species
UACGGGGGGAGCAAGCGUUGUUCGGAUUUACUGGGCGUAAAGGGCGCGUAGGUGGCGCGAGUAGUCAACGGUGAAAGCCCGGGGCUCAACCCCGGGUCGGCCGUCGAUACUCUCGUGCUUGAGCACUGUAGAGGCAGGUGGAAUUCCGGGUGUAGCGGUGGAAUGCGUAGAGAUCCGGAAGAACACCGGUGGCGAAGGCGGCCUGCUGGGCAGUAGCUGACACUGAGGCGCGACAGCGUGGGGGAGCAAACAGG